ACUUUUUGAAGAGCAAGACUUUUCAAUUUUGAUGAAGUCUAAAUUGUCAAUUUUUUUUCUUCUUUGGUUACUAACAUGAGUUUUAUGUCUGAUUAUAGGAAGAGGAUUUGACAAUUUGACUUCUGUCCAUCUUGCACGGCAUACUCCCACAGGAACACUGGUAACUAUAAAAAUUACAAAUCUGGAAAACUGCAAUGAAGAACGCCUGAAAGCUUUACAGAAAGCCGUGAUUCUAUCCCACUUUUUCCGGCAUCCCAAUAUUACAACUUAUUGGACAGUUUUCACUGUUGGCAGCUGGCUUUGGGUUAUUUCUCCAUUUAUGGCCUAUGGUUCAGCAAGUCAACUCUUGAGGACCUAUUUUCCUGAAGGAAUGAGUGAAACUUUAAUAAGAAACAUUCUCUUUGGAGCAGUGAGAGGGUUGAACUAUCUGCACCAAAAUGGCUGUAUUCACAGGAGUAUUAAAGCCAGCCAUAUCCUCAUUUCUGGUGAUGGCCUAGUGACCCUCUCUGGCCUGUCCCAUCUGCAUAGUUUGGUUAAGCAUGGACAGAGGCAUAGGGCUG
rnacentral:sRNA from 1 species